GCUUGUCUCAAGAUUAAGCCAUGCAUGUCUAAGUAUAAGCCUUUAUAUGGUGAGACUGCGAAUGGCUCAUUAAAUCAGAAACUGUUUAUUUGAUAGUGCCUACUACAUGGAUACCUGUAGUAAUUCUAGAGCUAAUACAUGCACAAAAUCCCGACUUACGAAGGGAUGUAUUUAUUAGAUACAAACCAACAUCGUGGUGAUUCAUAAUAACUCGCGGAUCGGUUUACCGAUGCAUCAUUCAAGUUUCUGCCCUAUCAGCUUUGGAUGGUAGGGUAUUGGCCUACCAUGGCUUUAACGGGUAACGGAGAAUUAGGGUUCGAUUCCGGAGAGGGAGCCUGAGAAAUGGCUACCACAUCCAAGGAAGGCAGCAGG
rnacentral:rRNA from 1 species